UACGGAGGGUGCAAGCGUUGUCCGGAUUUAUUGGGUUUAAAGGGUGCGUAGGCGGCCCCAUAAGUCUGCGGUGAAACCCACGGGCUCAACCCGUGGCGUGCCGACGAUACUGUGGGGCUUGGGUCGUCUCUGGGCGGGCGGAAUGGAAGGUGGUAGCGGUGAAAUGCAUAGAUAUCUACCAGAACGCCGAUACGCGAAGGCAGCUCGCUGGGGACGUACCGGACGCGAGGCACG
rnacentral:rRNA from 1 species